GCCAUCGUGGCGUAAUGGUAGCGCUUCGCUUUCCUAAAAAGGAUAAACAGGCGGGGGUUGCGGGUUCGAUCCCCGUCGGUGGUA
rfam:Phlebia centrifuga strain FBCC195 PHLCENscaffold_404, whole genome shotgun sequence.